rnacentral:rRNA from 1 species
GACGAACGCUGGCGGCGUGCUUAACACAUGCAAGUCGAACGGAAAGGCCCUGCUUUUGUGGGGUGCUCGAGUGGCGAACGGGUGAGUAACACGUGAGUAACCUGCCCUUGACUGUGGGAUAACUUCAGGAAACUGGGGCUAAUACCGGAUAGGAGCUCCUGCUGCACGGUGGGGGUUGGAAAGUUUCGGCGGUUGGGGAUGGACUCGCGGCUUAUCAGCUUGUUGGUGGGGUAGUGGCUUACCAAGGCUUUGACGGGUAGCCGGCCUGGGAGCGUGACCGGCCACAUUGGGACUGCGAUACGGCGCAGACUCCUACGGGAGGCAGCAGUGGAGAGUCUUGCGCAAUGGGCGGGAGCCUGAUGUAGCAGCGCCGCGUGCGGGAUGCCGGCCUUCGGAUUGUAAACCGCUUUGGCCUGUGACGAAGCGUGAGUGACGGUAAUGGGUAAAGAAGCACCGGCUAACUACGUG